rnacentral:rRNA from 1 species
UAAGCGGAGGAAAAGAAACUAACAAGGAUUCCCCUAGUAACUGCGAGUGAAGCGGGAAAAGCUCAAAUUUAAAAUCUGGUGGUCUUUGGCCAUUCGAGUUGUAAUUUAGAGAAGCGUCUUCCGCGCUGGACCGUGCACAAGUCUCCUGGAAUGGAGCGUCAUAGAGGGUGAGAAUCCCGUCUUUGGCACGGACACACCAGGGCUUUUGUGAUGCGCUCUCGAAGAGCCGAGUUGUUUGGGAAUGCAGCUCAAAAUGGGUGGUGAACUCCAUCUAAAGCUAAAUAUUGGCGAGAGACCGAUAGCGAACAAGUACCGUGAGGGAAAGAUGAAAAGCACUUUGGAAAGAGAGUGAAACAGUACGUGAAAUUGUUGAAAGGGAAACGCUUGAAGUCAGUCACGUCGACCGAGACUCAGCCUUGCCUUGGCUUGGUGUACUUCUCGGCUGACGGGUCAGCAUCAAUUUUGCCCCUUGGAUAAUGGCGAGGGAAAUGUGACACCUUUACGGUGUGUUAUAGUCUCUCGUCGCAUGCAAGGGUUGGGAUUGAGGAACUCAGCACGCGCCUUUGGGUGUCGGGGCUUUGCCCACGAUACGUGCUUAGGAUGUUGGCAUAAUGGCUUUAAACGACC